rnacentral:rRNA from 1 species
GCGGACUGGUGAGUAACGCGUGAGUAAUCUGCCUAAUCGACAGGGGGAUAACAGAGGGAAAACUUCGUGCUAAAUACCGCAUAAGACCACAGGAUGGCAUCAUCAAGGGGUCAAAGGUUAGAUCUGGUGAUAGAUGAGCUUGCGUAUCAUUAGCUAGUUGGUGAGGGUAAAGGGCCCACCAAGGCGACGAUGAUUAGCCGAUCUGAGAGGAUGACCGGCCACACUGGGACUGAGAUACGGCCCAGACUCCUACGGGAGGCAGCAGUUAGGAAUAUUGGGCAAUGGAGGAACUCUGACCCAGCAACGCCGCGUGAAGGAAGAAGGUUUUCGGUACUGUAAACUUCUGUAUCGUAAGGGAAAAAGAAAAGUGAUGGUACCUUAGGAGAAAGCCACGGCUAACUACGUGCCAGCAGCCGCGGUAA